rnacentral:rRNA from 1 species
AUUGAACGCUGGCGGCAGGCUUAACACAUGCACGUCGAGAGAGCGGCAGACGGGUGAGUAAUGUCUGGGAAACUGCCUGAUGGAGGGGGAUCACUACUGGAAACGGUAGCUAAUACCGCAUACCAUCAGAUGUGCCAAGAUGGGAUUAGCUAGUAGGUGGGGUAAUGGCUCACCUAGGCGACGCUCCCUAGCUGGUGUGAGAGGAUGACCAGCCACACUGGAACUGAGACAAGGUCCAUACUCCUACGAGAGGCAGCAGUGGGGAAUAGUGCACAAUGGGCGCAAGCCUGAUGCAGCCAUGGCGCGUGGGUGAAGACGGACUUCGGGUUGUAAAGCAUUUUCCGCGAGGAGGCGUUACUCGCAGCAGAAGCACCGGCUAAAUCAGUGCCAGCAGCCGCGGUAAUUC